AGAUGUCAUUGUCCCAUGUGACGUAGUAGGUCAGGUUGCCGCCAAAACUUGAUCGGAUCUUGUACGAACGUCUGCUAACCUGUCUGUGAAGAUGAAAGUUCUCUACAUCUUAUUCCUCGUUCUGCUUGCCGUCUGCACCGUGUUGGCGGGAAAAUCAGGGCUCAAGCGUCAGGCCACCUAUGGUGAGUGCAUCACAUGGUGUGGUGACGACAUCCCGUGCAAGAUUGGAUGUUCAAAUAACUUUCCUAAUUAGCAACUUGAUGACGUCAAGUCGCAUCUGACCAGCGGAUAUUCACAACACAAUUCUACUACAAUGUUGUCGACAUUUAUUCAAUUAAAAACGUUUUAAAAUUA